AAAAAUUAUAAAACUAUAUAAUACGCUUCAAAUUGGAGGAAUCCAACUAUUUUUUUAUUGAUAUGAUGUGUAAUGUGCUUAUUUGCAGAUAGAACGGACAGCUUUACAGUUAGAAAUAGAUAGAAAUCCUGUUCGUUUUUGUCUGUAAUUUUUUACCAGGGUUAUUAGGAGUACAGAACGUGCGAGUAGGUUUACUGGAUUUUAGCUAAAAUACUCCCACCAAGACUCCCCCCCCUCACAAGGCAGAAGGGAAUCUGAUUGGCUGUUGCCACAAUGAUGGCUUCCAGGCGCCGGCCAAUGAGAGCGGCGACAAGUAGCUUGUGGGAGGUCAAAGAAGCCGUCCAAUCAGCGCGGAGAUAAGUGCGAGGUAAUGACGCCCCCACCGCGAAAGCGUUGACCAAUCAGCGCGUCGAUACGAGACCGUUCCCAGUAUCCUUUAGUAACCUCCUUGCCUAAUAUGUUUCCCUGUUAUUUCAGAUCAAAUUUUCUGCCAUUUCAAACGAUGCGAGAACCUAUUUUCAUCUGUUUUAUCAUGUCUGUCAUAUCUCAUAUCUUUUUUAUGAUCUUUUAAGCGGUUUAAAGAGGCAGCGAGAGAACCAAUUGACAUCGCCGGAAAGCAACAAUGAAAAGACUGACGAUGAUGACUGACUGCUUUGAAAAAUGAGAAAGAUUUGUAAGGCGCAAAAAGAAGAUACCUGAGUGCCCUUGCCGCUACCGGGUGGCCCCAAUAGAACAGCGUUAAUCCCUCUGGUCGGGAUCUCGAGCUUCUCCUUCGGCAGUACAUCAGCUUGCGGCGGCAUAUUUCACGGUAUCUCGUUAACGGAACACGACAAAAAUUCACGUGGCUACCGCCGCGGGAAUGCUGGGGAAUGCUACCACCUUCGUCAGGAA